AGAACGGGUCACGUGAGCGCCUCGCCUGGAUGUGAGUUUCAGCCAGAUCAUUCAUCGAGAUAUAAAACCUGAGAAUAUUUUAGUAUCCCAGUCAGGAAUUACUAAGCUCUGUGAUUUUGGUUUUGCACGAACACUAGCAGCUCCUGGGGACAUUUAUACGGACUAUGUGGCCACACGCUGGUAUAGAGCUCCCGAAUUAGUAUUAAAAGAUACUUCUUAUGGAAAGUAUGUGUAUUUUGGGAUCCUGUCAGCCUUUCCUAGGUAUCUCUUUUUUUGUUUAUUUUUUGAGAUGGCGUGUUGCUCUGUCACCCAGGCUGGAAUGCAGUGGUGCAAUCUUGGCUCACUGCAACCUCCACCUCCCAGGUUCAAGCAAUUCUCCUGUUUCAGCCUCCCAAGUAGUUGGGACUACAGGUGCACACCACCACUCCUGGCUAAUUUUUGUAUUUUUAGUAGAGACGGGGUUUCACAAUAUUGGUCAGGCUGGUUUCGAACUCCUGACCUCAGGUGAUCUACCUGCCUCGGCCUCCCAAAGUGCUAGGAUUACAGGCGUGAGUCAGUGUGCCUAGCCUCCUAGGUAUCUCUUUUAUCCCUUGGUAUGUGCUUGUAUAUCUGUCACCCCUAAUACUGACACAUUCUGCCGUCUGCAUCUAGGUUGGGGCUAAGAAGAGGGACACCUUUAAAGGUAACAUAACAGAUCCUUUAGGUACCUGCAUUGCUGGCUACUGCUACUGCUACGCUCACUCAGCUCUCACAGGCUGAAUGGACACAGCUCCAGAAGACCUAUGCAGACAUCCCUCAGUGUGUAUCUAUAUUUGCUUUAAGCUGUGCCAUGCCCUCGGCAGAGUUCCCUCUUCUGUUUAUCUUUAGCCUCUACAUUCUGCAAAGAUUUGAAAUCAUUUACCUUACUCUGCUAGUGUUGCAGUAGGAACUGCCGAGUUUCCCAUUUCCUGGAAAAAUGGUACCCUCUUUGUGAAGACUGGCAAAUAAUUUUAAAUUGUACUGUUUUAGGUGCAAAAUUUAGCCAGGCGUGGUGGCAUGCGCCUGUAGUCCCAGCUACUCGGGAGGCUGAAACAGGAGAAUUACUUCAAAAGUAGCAUGAUCUCGGUCUAACAUAAAACAGCAGCCUAAAAUAUAAAUAAUCAAUCUUGAGCAUAAAGAGAUAAAAGUAUGUAAUUUAAUACCUGAUUUAAUAGAAUACAUGGAGGAGGAUAAUUCUUGUGCCUUUCCUAGAAAUUAUUAUUGUGUUAUUAUAAUAAUAUGUAAUAUUAAUGGGUACUUACUUUCUGCCAGAAACUGUUCUAAAUGCUUUAGAUACAUCAAAUAAUUUAAUCCUUACAACAACCCUAUGAUGAAGUUGCUACUAUUAGCAUUCUCAUUUUAAACAGUAGAACACUAAGACACAGAGGUCAAGUAAUUUGCCUGAAGUCACAUAGCUGCUUAAUAGCAGAACUGAACCAGGAUUCUAACCCAGGUGGUCAGGAUUCACAAUCCAUUCCCCUGGGUACCUUUUCAACUGUACCUACCGUUGAUACCCUGUACAGACUGUCUCUGUACCUCAAUUACUUCAUCUAUAAAAUGGAAAUAAUAAUAGGACUCACUUCAUAGGUUUGUGAUGAGGAUUAAAUGAUUUGAUAUAUGCUCAAUAAAUAUCUACUCUUACUCAAAGUCCUCAAAAAUUUUUUCUUUAUUUCUUUUUUGCCUCUGGACAUAAUGUAGCCUGCAUAAGAUCUCUCUGUCUCAGUUUUACCCUCAUUUGAUGAUGUAGCUUAAAUUCCUUUUCUGAUAUACUCCCUAGCCCCCCAAUCCUAGUUGACAUCUUUUAGUACAUUAUCUGUAAAUUUUGUGUCAGUUAAUAUUUAACAUGGGCUAGUUCUUUCUCUAGCUCUUUUUUUUUUAACCUCCCACUAAAAGUUAAGUUCCUCAAGGAUAGGCAUAAUCUCUUGUAUUCUGCAUAACCAAACUUGGUGCCUGGCCCACAGUAAGGUUGGAUUCUAGGAGACUUCACAUUGUGUUUGAAACAAAUUUGCUAGUGAGUCCAUUUUGAAAACUUUUAUUGUAAAAGAAAACACAGACACAGAAUAUCUCACAUAACAAAUGGAUAGCUCCACCACCUGAUCAAAAAAUAGGAUUUUGCCCACCACCCCAGAAAACCCUUUGUGUGCCCUACUGCAGUUGUAACAUGCUCCCUUCCCUACAAAGCAACCACGAUACUGAUUUUUAUUGUAAUCAUUUCCUUGCAUUUUUUAAAAUAAUAGAGACAGGUCUCACUAUGUUGCCCAGGCUGUCUCGAACUCCUGCCCUCAAGCAGUCCUUUUGCCUCAGCCUCCCAAAGUGCUGGGAUUCCAGGUGUGAGCCACCAGGCCUGGCCAUUUCCUUGCAUUUUAAAGAAGUUUUGUCACCCAAAUGUGCCUCCAUUUAGUUUAAUCUAGCCUUUUUUGAGAUAUGAUUCAUAUAUCUUACAAGUCACCUAUUUAAAAUGUACAAUUAAGUGGUUUACAGUGUAUUCACAGAGUUGUACAACCAUAACCAUAGUCAAUUUUAGAACAUAUUUAUCACCCCAAAACGAAACCCUGUACCCACUGUAACUCUCCGUUUCCUCCCAACCCUUCCAGGCCUAGAUAAACUCCUAUCUGCUUUCAUUCGCUAUGGAUUUGCCUAUUCUGGACAUUUCAUAUAAGUAGAAUUAUAUAAUAUAUGGUCCUUUGGGACUAGCUUUUUUCACUUAACAUAGCAUGUAUUAGUACUUCAUUUCUUUUUUUUUUUUUUUUUUUUUUUUAGCAGAGAUGGGGUUUUGCCAUUUGGUCUUGAACUCCCUACCUCAAGUGAUCUGCUCGCCUCGGCCUCUCAAAAUGCUGGGAUUACAGGCAUGAGCCACCGUGCCCAGCCAGCACUUUAUUCCUUUUUAUGGCUGAAUAAUAUUCCACUGAAUGGAUAGAGCUCUUUUUAUUUACCCAUUCAUCAACUGAUGGACAUCUGGGUUAUUUUUACUUUUUAGCUAUUAUGGGUAAUGCUGCUAUGGGUGUCCGUGUAACUUGUUUUUGUAUGGACAUAUGUUUUCAUUUCUUUUGGGUAUAUACUUAGGAGUUAGAAUUGUGGGUCAUACAGUAACUCUAUGUUUAGUCUUUGAAGAACUGCCAGACUGUAUUCCAAAGUGUUUGUACCAUUUUACAUUCCCACUAGCUGAGUGUGAGAGUUUCAGUGUCUCCAUGUCUUUGCUAGCACUUACCAUUAUGUUCUUUUGUUUAAUAGCCAUCCUAGCCUUUUUUUUUUUUAAAGUAAACUUUAUUUUGGGAUAAUUUUAGAUUUACAGAAAAGUUACAAAGAUAGUAUAGAGAGUUUCCCCAUAGUCCUCACCCAGUUUCUGUUUACCCUAAUAUUAUCAUAUUUCAUUACUAUGGAGGUUUAACUUUAUCAUCUCUUUUUAAUUUAUUACUUGAAUACUUUUAUAAAUGGACAUUUCCCCUUAUUUGGUUACCUAAUGGUAUAGUUCACAUAGAGAAACUGGGUAAAUGCUUGAUUUGUUUAUCAAUUUUAAAGAUGAAUUGGCUCCAACAGGUGACCUCCAAAAGCAACUAAUUAAUUUUUUUAGAAAUAUCAUUAUGAACUCAUGGACUUAAACAUAUUUAAUGGGUUUCAAUGCAUUGCAAUUAUCGGGGCAAAAAGAUAAUACCUUUUCCCGGCUGGGCACGGUGGCUCAUGCCUGUAAUCCCAGCACUUUGGGAGGCCGAGGUGGGCGGAUCACCUGAGGUCAGCAGUUCAAGACCAGCCUGACCAACAUGGAGAAACCCCGUCUCUACUAAAAAUACAAAAAUAGCCAGGCGUGGUGGUGCAUGCCUGUAAUCCCAGCUACUCGAGAGACUGAGGCAGGAAAAACGCUUGAACCCGGGAGGCAGAGGUUGCGGUGAGCCGAGAUCGCACCGCAGCACCUCAGCCUGGGCAACAAGAGCGAAACUCCGUCUCAAAAACAAAAAAAGGUAAUACCUUUUCCCUACCUGUAACAAGAGUCACAGCCAAUACCCUUAUAACAAAAGAUAGGUUAGCAAGAGAAAAGCGUGACAAAUUUAACAAAGUUCAAUGUGACAUGGAAGCCUUCAUAAAUGAAAACCCAAAGACCCAGGGAGAACACUGUCUGAUUUUAUGCUGUUUGCUGAAAGGAGUGGAUAGGUGUAGAGAAACAUGAUUGGGCAAAAGGAGUAUGAUCUAAUGGUAAUAAACCCAGCAAGGCCUGUUUGUUCAGAUUCUUCCUGGCCUCUCUGUUUUGCAUUCCUUCCUUCCAGGUAUGGGCAGGACCUCUCUGGAAUGAAGGUCUUAUGACUUACUUUCAAGGGAGGUGGAUCAGAGAGUGACCAUUCUAUGUUUUAUGGCUUGCUUUGGGGAAGAGGAAUUCUAAUCGCUCUGGAGGUGGGCAGGCGGAAGAGGAAUCCUGGUUUCUGUGAUACACCUUGGGGGAGAAAGGAGAGCAGGAGAAGGUCAGAGAGAUUUUGUUUCUGAGACCCUUCUAAUCUCCUUCAGUUCAAAGUAUGUAUCAUGCCAAAGCACCAUACUUUCAGGUAUCAUAGUCUAAGCCUGGACACAAUUGUUAUUAUUACUGAAGUUCAAAAUCAGUGGGUGCUGUCAGGCCUCUGAGCCCAACCUAAGCCAUCAUAUCCCCUGUGACCUGCACGGAUACAUCCAGAUGGCCUGAAGUAAUUGAAGAAUCACAAAAGAAGUGAAAAUGGCCUGUUCCUGCCUUAACUGAUGACAUUACCUUGUGAAAUUCCUUCUCCUGGCUCAUCCAGGCUCAAAAGCUCCCCCACUGAGCAUCUUGUGUCCCCUGCCCCUGCCUGCCAAAGAACAACCCCCUUUGACUGUAAUUUUCCACUACCUACCCAAAUCACAUAAAACAGCCCCACCCCAUCUCCCUUUGCUGACUCUCUUUUCGGACUCAGCCCGCCUGCACCUAGGUGAAAUAAACAGCCUUGUUGCUCACACAAAGCAUGUUUGGUGGUCUCUUCACACGGACACGAGUGAAAGGUGCCUUUUCAAGGUGGCUUCCCAAGUCCUUUUAACAGGACCUAGUAUGUAGUCUCUGAUACUUUCCUUGUGACCUGACUGACAAGAUAGCAGUCCAGGCUCAUUUUUCACAUGUUGUUGCCCCAGACCUGGUAUCAGCCAUAUUAUGUCUUUAUUAAAAACAGCAUUAUUGAGAUAUUUUUAUAUAAUACAGUUCAUCCAUCUGAAGUAAAUUUCAGUGGUUUUUAGUGUAUUCACAGAUAUGUACUACCAUCACCAGUCAGUUUUCAUCACCUCAGUAAAAACCCCAUACCCUUUAUCUAUGACACCCCUAUACCUCUGAACUCCCUCCCUAACCCUAAGCAAUCACUACUCUCUUCUCUAUCUUUAUAGAUUUUUAUUUAUUUUAUUUUUUUUGAGACAGAGUCUCUCUCUGUCGCCCAGGCUGGAGUGCAGUGGCGUGAUCUCGGCUCACUGCAACAUCCGCCUCCUGGGUUCAAGCAAUUCUCCUGCCUCAGCCUCCUGAGUAGCUGGGACUACAGGCGCAUGGCACCACACCCGGCUAAUUUUUUUUUGUAUUUUUGUAGAGCUGGGGAUUCACCAUGUUGGUCAGGCUGGUCUCGAACUCCUGACCUCGUGAUCGACCUGCCUCGGCCUCCCAAAGUGCUGAGAUUACAGAUGUGAGCCACUGCACCCAGCCUAUGGCUGGCUUUUUUAUUUUGUAGAGACAGGGUCUCGCUAUUUUGACUAGGCUGAUUUUGAAUUCCUGGGCUUAAGUGAUCCUCCCGCCUCAGCCUACCAAUGUGUUAGGAUGAUAGGUGUGAGCCACCACGCUGAAGCCUGACUUUUUUAUUCUAGCUACUCUAAUGGGUGUGAAGUGGUAUCUCAUUGUGGGUUUGAUUCACAUUUCCCUAAUGUCUACUGAGGUUGAAUGUCUUUUUGUGUGUGCGUGUGCUUAUUGGCCAUUUGUAUAUUGUCCUUGGAGAAAUGUCUGUUCAGAUCCUUUGCCUAUUUUUAAAAUGAGUUGUCUUUUUAUUAUUGAGUUGUAAGAAUUUUCUGCAUAUCCUAGAUACAAAUUCCUUAUCAGAUAUGUGAUUUACAAGUAUGUUCUUCCAUUUUAUGGGUUGUGUCUUCACUUUCUUGAUUCUGUCUUUUGAUUUUCAAAUGUUUUUAAUUUUAAGAAGUCCAAUUUAUCUGUUUCUUUUGUUGCCUAUGCUUUUGGUAUCAUAUUUCAAAAUUGUUUGCCAAAUCCAGGGUUAUGAAGAUUUACAGUUACAUUUUCUUCUAAGAGUUAUAACUUUAGCUCUUACAUUCAAGUCUGAUCCAUUUGAGUUAAUUUUUGUAUAUGCUAUAAGGUAAGAGUCCAAGUUCAUUCUUUUGCAUUUGGCUAUCCAGUUGUUGUCCCAGCACCAUUUGAUGAAAAUAUUGUUCUUUCCCCAUUAUGGUGUUGGGCUCUUUUUGAAAUUCAGUUGACUAUAGAUGUAAGUGUAACUGCUCAAGGGGUUCACCUUGCCCGCUGCCUAGACAGAGCCGAUUCAUCAAGACGGGAAUUGCAAUAGAGAUAGAAUAACUCACGCAGAGCCGGCGUGAGUGUGCAGGAGACUGGAGUUUUAUUAUUACUCAAAUCAGUCUCCUUGGGCAUUCAGGGAGCAGAGUUUUUAAGGACAACUUGGUGGGUAGAGGGAGGCCAGUGAGCUGGGAGUUCUGAUUGAUCAGGUUUGAAAUCAUAGGGAGUGGAAGCUGUCUUCUUGCACUGAAUCACUUCCUGGGUCUGGGGCGGCCAUGAGAUCAGAUAAGCCAGUUUAGCAAUAUGGGUGGUGCCAGCUGAUCCAUCAAGUACAGGGUUUGCAAAAUAUCUCAAGCACUGAUCUUAGGAGCAGUUUAUGGAGGGUCAGAAUCUUGUAGCCUUCAGCUACAUGACUCCUAAACCAUAAUUUCUAAUCUUGUGGCUAAUGUUAGUCCUACAAAGGCAAUCUGGUCCCCAGGCAAGAAGGAAGUCUGCUUUGGGAAAGGGUUGUUACUGUCUUUGUGUUAAACUAUAAACUAUAAACGAAGUUUCUCCUGAAGUUAGUCCAGCCUACGCCCAGGAAUGAACGAGGACAGCUUGGAGGUUAGAAGCAAGAUGGAGUCAAUUAAGUUAGAUCUCCUUCACUGUCUCAGUCAUAAUUUUGCAAAGGUGGUUUCAUAAGGGCUUAUUUCUAGAAUCUCAAUUCUGUUCCAUUGAUCUGUAAGGCUGUCCUUUUUCCAGCAACGCACUUUCUUUCCUUUUUUUUUUUUUUGACAAGAUCUCACUCUGUUGCCCAGGCUGGAGUGCAGUGGCAUGAUCUUGGCCCACAGCAACCUCCACCUUCCAGGCUCAAACAAUCCUCCCACCUCAGCCUCCUGAGUAGUUGGGACUACAGGGGUGCACCACCAAGCCUGGCUAAUUUUUAAAUUUUUUGUAGAGACGGGAUUUCACCACGUUGGCCCGGCUGGUCUUGAAUGGCUGGGCUCAAGCAAUCUGCCUGCCUUGGACUCCCAAAGCAUUGGGAUUACGGGCAGGAGCCACCGCACGCAGCCGACACACUGUCUUAAUGACUAUUGCUUUGUAGCAAGUUUGAAAUCAGAAAGUGUGAGUCUUUCUACUUUAUUUACUUUUCCAAGAUUGUUUUGGCUAUUCUAGGUCCCUUCCAAUUCCAUAUGAAUUUUAAGAUCAGCUUCUCAAUUUUUGCAAAACAGACAUCUGAGAUUCUGAUAUGGAUUACAUUGUAUCUGUGGAUUAGUUUGGAGGUUAUUGCUGUCUUAAAAAUGUUAACUCUUAUUCUAAUCUGUGAAUUUAGAAUGUUUUGCCAUUUAUUUAGAUCUUCCAUAAAUUUUUCUUUUUCUUUUUCUUUUUUUUUUUUGAGACAGAGUCUUGCUCUGUCGCCCAGGCUGGAGUGCAGUGGCACAAUCUCGGCUCACUGCAAGCUCCGCCUCCCAGGUUCACGCCAUUCUCCUGCCUCAGCCUCCCGAGUAGCUGGGACUACAAGCGUCCGCCACUACGUCUGGCUAAUUUUUUGUAUUUUUUUAGUAGAGAUGGGGUUUCACCGUGUUAGCCAGGAUGGUCUCGAUCUUCUGACCUCAUGAUCCACCUGCCUCGGCCUCCCAAAGUGCUGGGAUUACAGGCGUGAGCCACCGCACCCGGCUUCCAUAAUUUUUUCAACAAUGUUUUGUAGUUUUCAAAGCAUACAUUUUGCACUUGUUUUGUAAAAUUUAUUCUUAAGUAUCUUAUUCUUUUUGAUGCUAUCAUGAAUGGAGUUUUCUUAAUUUGAUUUCAAAUUGUUCAUUGCACGGGCAUAAAAAUACAACUUAUUUUUGUAUAUUGAGUUCAUAUUGAAGUGGUGUCAUUGUCUGGAGUAAAUACCCAGGGUUCGUCAUCUCGUGCCAAGGAGAUGAAGGACAUGGACAUGCAUGAGGAGUGAGUUUAGGAGCAGAGGUUUAAUAGGCAAAAGAAAGAGAAAGGAGAACAGCUUUCUCCCUAGUGAGAAAGAGGGGCCUCCUAAAGCAAAAUCUGGCCCGCAGCAGACUGCAUUAGAUUUUAUAGGCAGGUUUGAGGAGAUGGUGUCUGAUUUAUGUAGGGCCCACAGAUUGGUUCGACCAGGUGUGACAGUUACAUACUGCAAGGGGAAGGCUGGUUGCCCCACUCUAAUCUUAUUAUGCAAAUUGGAUCUUUGCCUGGCUGGGGCCAUAUUGUCUUCUUACUCUACAUGUGGUUUGGCAAAGAGAAGGGAAGAUGGAGCCACCAUUUUGAACAUGCUUAGUCCCAGGUAGCCUUUUCCUGUUGGCACAACUGCUGGCAUUCACCUGUGCAAGCUUACAGCUUGCGUGUCUGUGUCUGCAGCACAAUUUUACAGGCUGCUUUUUGUUAGAAAAGAAAAUGAUUUGGGGCUGCUUUUCAUUAAAAGGAAAACCUUACUGAGGAUCCCGUACCCUCACUGCCUGCCUAAAUAAUUUCUUCUUAACUCAUAUCAUUAUCAUGCAACUUUGCUGAACUUGUUUAUUGGUUCUCAUAGUAGUUUAGUGGAUUCUUUAGGAUUUUCUACAUAGAAGAUCAUGUCAUCUGUGAAUAGAUAUAGUUUUACCUUUUUGCUGGUCUGGAUGCCUUUUAUUUCUUUUUCCUGUCUAAUUGUGCUGAGUAGAAUCUGCAGUACAAUGUUGAACAGAAGUGGCAAGAGCAGACAUCCUUGUCUUGUUCCUAAUCUUAUCGGGAAAUCAUUCAGUCUAAGUAUGAUAUUAGAUGAUUUUUCAUAGAUGCCUUUUAUCAGGUUGGGGAAGUUUCCUUUUAUUCUUAGUUUGUUGAGUGCUUUUAUCAUGAAGGGGUGUUGGAUUUUAUCAAAUGUUUUUUCUUUGUCUAUUGAAAUGAUCAAAAUGAGAAAUUUUUUUGGUUUUUAUUCUAUUGAUGUAUUAUAUUACAUUUAUUGGUUUUUGGAUAUUGAACCAACCUUGUGUUCCUAGAAUAAAUCCCAGUUGGUCACAGUGCAUAAUUCCUUUUAUAUGAUGCUGGAUUCAGUUUGCUAGUAUUUUGUUGAGAAUUUUGUGUUCACAUUCAUAAAAGAUAUUUGUAGUUUUCUUUUUUACUGGUUUGGGUAUCAGGGAAAUACUGGUUUUAAAAAAUGAGAUGGGAUGUGUUCCUUCUGUUUUUUGAAAGAGUUUGUGAAGACUUGGUAUUAAUUCUUCUUUAAAUGAUAGAAUUCAGUAGUGACAUCAUCUAGGCCUGGGCUUUUCUUUGCGGGUAGUUUUUUAAAAAAAUCAUGAAUUCAGUCUUUUCACUUGUUAAAAGUUUAUUGAGAUUGUCUAUUUUUUAUUGAGCCAGUUUCAGUAGUUUGUGUUUUUCUGGGAAGCUAUUCAUUUAAUCUAAGUUAUCUAAUCUGUUGGCAAACAAUUAUGUAUUCCUUUAUAAUCUUUUUAAUUUCUGUAAAGUCAGUAGUAAUGUCACCUCUUUCAUUUCUGAUUCUAAUACUUUGAGUUUUCUCUCUUUUGCUCUUGGUCAUUCUAACUAAAUGUUUUUCAAUUUUGUUGAUUUACAAAAAAAUAGCUUUUGGUUUCAUUGAUUUUCUCUGUUUUCUUAUUCUCUAUUUAAUGAACUUUUGCUUUUUAAAUAUUUCCUUCUUUUUGUUUGCUUGGUUUAGUUUGCCCUUCUUUUUCCAGUGUCUUAAGGUGGAAGGUUAGGUUACUGAUUUGAUAUCUUUCUUCAUAUAGGCAUUACAGCUAUACAUUUCCCUCUCUGCUUUACUGCAUCCCACAAAUGCUGGUAUGUUGUGUCUUCAUUUUCAUUAGUCUCAAAGGAUUUUCUUUUUCUUUUUCUUUUUUGAGACAGGAUCUUGCUCUGUUGCUCAGGCUGGAAUGCAGUGGUGUGAUCUCGGAUCACUGCAGCCUUGACUUCCCCAGCUUAAGUGAUCCUCCCACCUCAGCCUCCCGAGUAGCUGAGACUACAGGUGUGUGCCCUCAUGCUUGGCUAAUUUUGUUCAUUUUUUUGCAGAGACGAGGUCUCACUGUGUUACCCAGGCUGGUCUCAAACUCCUGUACUCAAGUGACCCUCCUACCUCUCUGCUUCCCAUAGUUUUGAGAUUAAAGGAAUGAGCUACUGUGCCCAGCCUCAAAGUAUUUUCUGAUUACCCUUUUGAUUUCACCUUGUACCCAUUGGUUAUUUCGUCAAAUGUAGUUUAAUAUCCACAUAUUUGUAAAUUUCCAAAAUUUUUCCUGCAAUUAAUAUUUAAUUUUAUUCCAUUGUAAUAAGAGAAUAUACUUCGUGUAAUUUCUGCCCUUUUAAAUUUACUGAGGUUUAUUUAUGGUCCAGCACAUGGGCUAUCCUGGAGAAUGUUCCAUGUGACUUGAGAACAAUAUAUAAAUGUAUAUUCUAUUGUUGUUCUGUAAAGUGUUCUAAAGAUAGUUAUUAGGUCUAAUUUGUUUAUCAUGUUGUUCAUAUUUUCUCUUCUUGAUUUUCUAAUUGGUUUAGACAUGCUUAUCAUUAUUACAGUUUUCUAAUAGAUUCCCCCUUUAUCAUUAUGAAAUUUCCCUCUUCAUCUCUAGUAACAUUUUUUUGUUAAAAGUCUAUUUUGUCUUGUAUUAGGGCAGUCUUUUUAGUUUUCUUGUGAUUGUUGAUUGCAUGAUAUAUCUUUUUCACAACCUUUACUUAUAAUGUUUGUAUAUCGAAUAUAAAGUAUAUCUUGCCUAAACAACAUAUAGUUAGAUCAUGAGGUUUUUUUCCCCCUCCAGGCUGACAGUCUCUGCCUUUUGCUGGAUUGGUUAAUCUGUUAACGUUUAAUGCCAUUAUUAUUUUUAUUUAUUUAUUUAUUUUUUGUGAGACAGAGUCUCACUCUGUCACCCAGGCUGGAGUGCAGUGGCACGAUCUUGGCUCACUACCUCACUACAACUUCUGCCUCCGGGUUCAAGCAGUUCUCCCUUCCUCACCCUCCUGAAUAGCUGGGAUUACAGGCAUCCACCACUAUGCCCGGCUAAUUUUUGUAUUUUUAGUAGAGAUGGUGUUUCACCACGUUGGCCAGGCUGGUCUCAAAUUCCUGACCUCAAGUGAUCCACCCACCUAGGCCUACCAAAGCUCUGGGAAUACAGGUGUGAGCCACCGUGCCCGACCCCAUUUAAUGUUAUUAUUGACGUAGUUGUAAUUACAUCUGCCAUUUUAGUUUUUUGUGUUUGUCUCAUGUUGUUUUCUUGCUCCUCCUUUGCUGCAUUAUUUUGCAUUAAAUGAUUAUUUCCUAAUUAUUUUAAUUUCUUUAAUAAUUUUUUUUACUAUCUGUGUGUGUGUGUUUUGAGAUAGAGUCUCACUCUGUCACCCAGGCUGGAGUGCAGCAGGGCAAUCUUGGCUCACUGAAACCUCUGCCUCCUCUUUUCAAGUGAUUCUCCUGCCUCAGCCUCCUGAGUAGCUGAGAUUUCAGGUGUGUGCCACCAAGCCUGGCUAAUUUUUGUAUUUUUUUUUUUAGCAGAGAUGGAGUUUCACCAUAUUGGCCAGGCUGGUCUCGAACUCCUGGCCUCAAGUGAUUCUCCUGCCUCAGCCUCCCAAAGUUUUGGGAUUUCAGGUGUGAGCCACCACACCUGGCCUUUACUAUAUUUUUGAGGGUUGUUCCUUUUUUUUCUUUUUAGUGGUUGCUCUAAGGUUUACACCUUAUCAGAAUCAACUGAUAAGUUCCUAUUUAUACUAGUUUAAUUCCAGUGAUACAGGUAUAGAAAAGUUAUUCUUAUGUCAUUCUAUUCCCUUUUCCAUCUUUGUGUGGUAUAUUUGUUGUACAUAUUACAUCUAAUAAUGUUACAAACCAUUAUUACUUUUUCUUUAUAGUCAUUUCUCUAAACUCAAUAUAGUUUUACUCCCUCUCACUUCCUUUUUGAUGUCAUUAGCAAAUAUAUUACACAUAUUACAUUUGUAAUGUUAUAGGCCCAAUAAUGUAUUGCAUGCAUAUUAUUUUUUCCCUAGGUAGAGGCAGCUCUAAUGGCUUGCAUAUUAUUUUGUAUGAGGGGUCUUCAAAAAGUUCAUGGAAAUGCAUAUUAUGAAAAAACUAUGCAUGGCUUUAACUUUUUUUUGCACCAAAAUAAACUCACACUAACUUGUUAUAACAUGUCUGAAUAGGAUCUAGUUUGAGGCAUUAAGAAGGAUAAUACAUCAGUUGGAAAAGAGCCUCUAUCAAAACAAUAUGAAUUCUGCUAAAAUUGAAGCAAGAACAAGCAUCAAAUUCAUGAUGAAGCUUGAGUGGAAGAAUGGUGAAAGCAUUGAUGCUUUAUGAAAAGUUCUUUAUUUUCCCAAUUUUUUUAAAAUUUUAAAAUGUUAAUGUAGAAACAAGGUCUUGCAGUGUUGGCAAAGCUAGCCUCAAAUUCCUGGGCUCAAGCAAUCCUACUGCAUCAGCCUCCCAAAGUGCUGGGAUUACAGGCUUGGCUUUAUGAAAAGUUUAUGGAGACAGUGCCUCCAAAGAAACCAGCAGCUUACAAAUGGAUAACUUGUUUUAAGAAAGGAGGAAAUGGUGAGAAAACACCAAGAUGGCCCAAUAGGAAUAUCUCCGGUCUACAGCUCCCAGCAAGACUAAUGCAGAAGAUGGGUAAUUUCUGCAUUUCCAACUAAGGUACCUGGUUCAUCUCACUGGGACUGGUUGGACAGUGGGUACGGCCCACAGAGGGCGAGCCGAAGCAGGGAGGGGCGUCGCCUCACCCAGGAAGUGCAAGGGGUCAGGGAUUGAUUUCCCUUUCCUAGUGAAGGGAAGCCAUGAGUGACUGUACCUGGAGGAACAUUACACUCCUACCCAAAUUCUGUGCUUUCCCCAUGGUCUUUGCAACUGUCAGACCAGGAGAUUCUCUCCCGUGCCUGGCUCAGCAGGUCCCAUGCCCAUGGAGCCUUGCUUGCUGCUAGUGCAGCAGUCUGAGAUCUACCUGGGACACUGGAGCUUGGUGGGGGGAGGGGCAUCCGCCAUUUCUGAGGCUUGAGUAGGCGGUUCUAUGCUCACAGUGUAAACAAAGCAGCAGGGAAACUCGAACUGGGCAGAGCUCAUCGCAGCUCAGCAAGGACUACUGCCUCUCUAGAUUCCACCUCCAGAGGCAGGGCAUAUCUGAACAAAAGGCAGCAGACAGCUUCUGCAGACUUAAACGUCCCUGCCUGACAGCUCUGAAGAGAGCAGUGGUUCUGCCAGCAUGACAUCUGAGCUCCGAUAACAGACAGACUGCCUCCUCAAGUGGGUCCCUGACCCCCAUGUAGCCUGACUGGGCGACACCUCCCAGUAGGGGCCAACGGACACUUCAUACAGGCAGGUGCCCCUCUGGGACGAAACUUCCAGAGGAAGGAUCAGGCAGCAAUAUUUGCUGUUCUGCAGCCUCCGCUGGUGAUACCCAGGCAAAUAGGAUUUGGAGUGGACCUCCAGCAAACUCCAACAGACCUGCAGCUGAGGGGCCUGUCUGUUGGAAGGAAAACUAACAAACAGAAAGGAAUAGCAUCGACAUCAACAAAAGGACAUCCACACCAAAACCCCAUCCACAGGUCACCAACAUCAAAGACCAAAGGUAGAUAAAACCAUAAAGAUGGGGAGAAACCAGAGCAGAAAGGCUGAAAAUUCCAAAAACCAGAAUGCCUCUUCUCCUCCAAAGGAACACAACUCCUCACCAGCAAGGGAACAAAACUGGAUGGAGAAUGAGUUUGACAAGUUGACAGAAGUAGGCUUCAGAAGGGCGGUAAUAACAAACUUCUCUGAGCUAAAGGAGCAUGUUGUAACCCAUUGCCAGGAAGCUAAAAACCUUGAAAAAAGGUUAGACGAAUGGCUAACUAGAAUAACCAGUAUAGAGAAGAGCUUAAAUGACCUGAUGGAGCUGAAAACCACAGUACGAAAAACUUCAUGAAGCAUACACAAGCUUCAAUAGCUGAUUUGAUCAAGUGGAAGAAAGGAUAUCAGUGAUUGAAGAUCAAAUUAAUGAAAUAAAGCGAGAAGACAAGAUUAGAGAAAAAAGAGUGAAAAGAAACGAACAAAGCCUCCAAGAAAUAUGGGACUAUGUGAAAAGACCAAAUCUACGUUUGAUUGGUGUACCUGAAAGUGACAGGGAGAAUGGAACCAAGUUAGAAAACACUCUUCAGGAUAUUACCCAGGAAAACUUCCCUAACCUAGCAAGGCAGGCCAACGUUCAAAUUUGGAAAUACAGAGAACACCACAAAGAUACUCCUUGAGAAGAGCAACCCCAAGACACAUAAUUGUCAGAUUCACCAAGGUUGAAAUGAAGGAAAAAAUGUUAAGGGCAGCCAGAGAGAAAGGUUGGGUUACCUACAAAGGGAAGCUCAUCAGACUAACAGUGGAUCUCUUGGCAGAAACCCUGCAAGCCAGAAGAGAGUGGGGGCCAAUAUUCAACGUUCUUAUAGAAAAGAAUUUUCAACUCAGAAUUUCAUAUCCAGCCAAACUAAGCUUUUAAGUGAAGGAGAAAUAAAAUCCUUUCCAGACAAGCAGAUGCUGAGAGAUUUUGUCACCACCAGGCCUGACUUACAAGAGCUCCUGAAGGAAGCACUAAACAUGGAAAGGAACAAAUGGUACCAGCCACUGCAAAAACAUGCCAAAUUGUAAAGACCAUCGACGCUAUGAAGAAACUGCAUCAAUUAACAGUCAAAAUAACCAGCUAGCAUCAUAAUGACAGAAUCAAAUUCACACAUAAUAAUAUUAACCUUAAAUGUAAAUGAGCUAAAUGCCCCAAUUAAAAGACACAGACUGGCAAAUUGGUUAAAGAGUCAAGACCCAUCAGUGUGCUGUAUUCAGGGGACCCAUCUCACAUGCAAAGACAAAUAUAGGCUCAAAAUAAAGGGAUGGAGGAAGAUCUACCAAGCAAAUGGAAAGCGGAAAAAAAAAAAAAAAGCAGAGGUUGAAAUCCUGGUCUCUGAUAAAACAGACUUUAAACUAACAAAGAUGAAAAGAGACAAAGAAGGCCGUUACAUAAUGGCAAAGGGAUCAAUUCAACAAGAAGAGCUAACUAUCCUAAAUAUAUAUGCACCCAACACAGAACCACCCAGAUUCUUAAAGCAAGUUCUUAGAGACCUACAAAGAGACUUAGACUCCCACACAAUAAUAACGGGAGAAUUUAACACCCCACGGUCAAUAUCAGACAGAUCAACAAGACAGAAAAUUAACAAGGAUAUCCAGGACUUGAACUCAGCUCUGGACCAAGCGGACCUAAUAGACAUCUACAGAACUCUCCACCCCAAAUCAACAGAAUAUACAUUCUUCUCAGCACCACAUCACACUUAUUCUAAAAUUGACCACAUAAUUGGAAGUAAAACACUCCUCAGCAAAUGUAAAAGAACAGAAAUCACAACAAACUAUCUCUGUGACCACAGUGCAAUCAAAUUAGAACUCAGGAUUAAGAAAUGCACUCAAAACCGCACAACUAUAUGGAAACUGAACAAUCUGUUCCUGAAUGACUACUGGGUAAAUUACGAAAUGAAGGCAGACAUAAAGAUGUUCUUUGAAACCAACAAGAACAAAGACACAACAUACCAGAAUCUCUGGGACACAGCAAAAGCAGUGUAUAUAGGGAAAUUUAUAGCACUAAGUGCCCAUAAGAGAAAACAGGAAAGAUCUAAAAUUGACACCCUAACAUCACAAUUAAAAGAACUAGAGAAAUAAGAGCAAACAAAUUCAAAUUCAAAAGCUAGCAGAAGGCAAGAAAUAACUAAGAUCAGAGCAGAACUGAAGGAGACAGAGACACAAAAAGCCCUUCAAAAAAAAUCAAUGAUUCCAGGAGCUGGUUUUUUGAAAAGAUCAACAAAAUAGAUAGACUGCUAGCAAGACUAAUAAAGAAGAGAGAAGAAUCAAAUAGAUGCAAUAAAAAAUGAUAGAGAAGAUAUUACCACUGAUCCCACAGAAAUACAAACUACCAUCAGAGAAUACUACAAACCCCUCCACACAAAUAAUUAGAAAAUGUAGAAGAAAUGGAUAAAUUCCUGGACAUAUACACUCUCCCAAGACUAAACCAGGAAGAUGUUGAAUCUCUGAAUAGACCAAUAACAGGUUCUGAAAUUGAGCCAAUAAUUAAUAGCCUACCAACCAAAAAAAGUCCAGGACCAGAUGGAUUCAUAGCCAAAUUCUACCAGAGGUACAAACAGGAGCUGGUACCAUUCCUUCUGAAACUAUUCCCAUCAGUAGAAAAAGAGGGACUCCUCCCUAACUCAUUUUAUGAGGCCAGCAUCAUCAUGAUACAAAAGCCUGGCAGAAACACAACAAAACAGAAUUUUAGGCCAAUAUCAAUGAUGAACAUUGAUGCAAAAAUCCUCAAUAAAAUACUGGCAAACCAAAUCCAGCAGCACAUCAAAAAGCUUAUCCACCACGAUCAAGUCAGCUUCAUCCCUGGGAUGCAAGCCUGGUUCAACAUACACAAAUCAGUAAACGUAAUCCAUCACAUAAACAGAACCAAUGACAAAAACCACAUGAUUAUCUCAAUAGAUGCAGAAAAGGCCUUCGACAAAAUUCAACAGCAUUUCUUGCUAAAAACUCUGAAUAAACUAGGUAUUGAUGGAAUGUAUCUCAAAAUAAGAGCUAUUUAUGACAAACCCACAGCCAAUAUUAUACUGCAUGGGCAAAAACUGGAAGCAUUCCCUUUGAAAACUGGCACAAGACAAGGAUGUCCUCUCUCACCACUCCUAUUCAGCACAGUAUUGGAAGUUCUGGCCAGGGCAAUCAGGCAAGAGAAAGAAAUAAAGGGUAUUCAAUUAGGAAAAGAGGGAGUCAAAUUGUCUCUGUUUGCAGAUGACAUGAUUGUAUAUUUAGAAAACCCCAUCGUCUCAGCCCAGAAUCUCCUUAAGCUGAUAAGCAACUUCAGCAAAGUCUCAGGAUACAAAAUCAAUGUGCAAAAAUCACAAGCAUUUCUGCAAAAAUCACAAGCAUUUCUAUACACCAAGAACAGACAAACGGAGAGCCAAAUCAUGAGUGAACUCCCAUUCACAAUUACUACAAACAGAAUAAAAUACCUAGGAAUCCAACUUACAAGGGAUAUGAAGGACCUCUUCAAGGAGAACUACAAACCACUGCUCAAGGAAAUAAGAGAGGACACAAACAAAUGGAAGAACAUUCCAUGCCCAUGGACAGGAAGAAUCAAUAUCGUGAAAAUGGCCAUACUGGCCAAGGUAGUUUAUAGAUUCAAUGCUAUCCCCAAAAAGCUACCACUGGCUUUCUUCACAGAAUUGGAAAAAACUACUUUAAAGUUCACAUGGAACCAAAAAAGAGCCCGCAUAGCCAAGACAAUCCUAAGCAAAAAGAACAAAGCUGGAGGCAUCACACUACCUGACUUCAAACUAUACUACAAGGCUACAGUAAUCAAAAUAGCAUGGUACUGGUACCAAAACAGAUAUAUAGACCAAUGGAACAGAACAGAGGCCUCAGAAAUGACAGCACACAUCUACAACCAUCUGAUCUUUGACAAACCUGACAAAAACAAGGAAUGGGGAAAGAAUUCCCUAUUUAAUAAACGGUGCUGGGAAAACUGGUUAGCCACAUGUAGAAAGCUGAAACUGGAUCCCUUCCUUUCACCUUACACAAAAAUUAACUCAAGAUGGAUUAAAGACUUAAAUGUAAGACCUAAAACCAUAAAAACCCUA
rnacentral:lncRNA from 1 species